AUAUGCUCCAUGGACCAGCUCAACAGCAGUUAACUACUCUGAAAUAAACCGUUCAGUAUAUUCAUAGCUGUUUGCCUUGAGACGUUUCUUGAGAACUUUUAGAAUUUUCCACGACAAUUGCAGACACUAGGGAUAGAUUUAAUGCAAGCAAAGGUUAGCUACAUGAUCUACACCAGUGGUCGGCAAGUAACUUGGGCCGCGGGCCAGUAUUUUUCCUCGCCACUAGGUGGCGGGCCAGAGUCUGGGUUACUGCCUAUUUAGACGCUGCGAUAGGUGCCCCUUACGUGACCUCGCAACAACUAGGCUCACAUGGAGAAUGGAUAGGUCUACUAAAAAUAACUAAUGACUAUAAACCAUGUGAAUAAAAAAAGAUAAAAAAAAAAAAAAAACUUGGCUACGAUUG